rnacentral:rRNA from 1 species
UACGUAGGGUGCGAGCGUUGUCCGGAAUUAUUGGGCGUAAAGGGCUCGUAGGCGGUUUGUCGCGUCGGGAGUGAAAACCUUGGGCUUAACUCAGGGCUUGCUUUCGAUACGGGCAGACUAGAGGUAUGCAGGGGAGAACGGAAUUCCUGGUGUAGCGGUGAAAUGCGCAGAUAUCAGGAAGAACACCAAUGGCGAAAGCAGCUCUCUGGGACGGUACUGACGCUGAGACGCGAAAGCGUGGGGAGCGAACAGG